rnacentral:rRNA from 1 species
AUUGAACGCUGGCGGCAUGCCUUACACAUGCAAGUCGAACGGCAGCACGGGAGCAAUCCUGGUGGCGAGUGGCGAACGGGUGAGUAAUAUAUCGGAACGUGCCCAGUAGUGGGGGAUAACUGCUCGAAAGAGCAGCUAAUACCGCAUACGACCUGAGGGUGAAAGGGGGGGAUCGCAAGACCUCUCGCUAUUGGAGCGGCCGAUAUCAGAUUAGCUAGUUGGUGGGGUAAAGGCCUACCAAGGCAACGAUCUGUAGUUGGUCUGAGAGGACGACCAGCAACAAUGGGACGGAGACACGGCCCAGACUCCUACGGGAGGCAGCAGUGGGGAAUUUUGGACAAUGGGCGCAAGCCUGAUCCAGCAAUGCCGCGUGCAGGAAGAAGGCCUUCGGGUUGUAAACUGCUUUUGUCAGGGAAGAAAUCCUCUAGGUUAAUACCCUUGGGGGGAUGACGGUACCUGAAGAAUAAGCACCGGCUAACUACGUGCCAGCAGCCGCAGUAACAC